rnacentral:rRNA from 1 species
AUUGAACGCUGGCGGCAGGCCUAACACAUGCAAGUCGAGCGAGCGGCGGACGGGUGAGUAUUGUCUGGGAAACUCCCUGAUGGAGGGGGGUAACUACUGGAAACGGUAUCUCAUCCCGCAUACCAUCAGAUGUGCCCAGAUGGGAUUAGCUCGUAGGUGGGGUAACGGCUCACCUAGGCGACGAUCCCUAGCUGGUCUGAGAGGAUGACCAGCCACACUGGAACUGAGACACGGUCCAGACUCCUACGGGAGGCAGCAGUGGGGAAUAUUGCACAAUGGGCGCAAGCCUGAUGCAGCCAUGCCGCGUGUGUGAAGAAGGCCUUCGGGUUGUAAAGCACUUUCAGCGGGGAGGCGUUACCCGCAGAAGAAGCACCGGCUAACUCCGUGCCAGCAGCCGCGGUAAUUC